rnacentral:rRNA from 1 species
AGCCUGCAACUCGGCUGCAUGAAGCUGGAAUCGCUAGUAAUCGCAGAUCAGAAUGCUGCGGUGAAUACGUUCCCGGGUCUUGUACACACCGCCCGUCACACCAUGGGAGUUGGAAAUGCCCGAAGUCAGUGACCGAACCGAAAGGAAGGAGCUGCCGAAGGUGGAGCCGAUGACUGGGGUGAAGUCGUAACAAGGUAAC